rnacentral:rRNA from 1 species
UCAGUCGACUCCUACGGGAGCAGCAGUGGGGAAUAUUGGACAAUGGGCGCAAGCCUGAUCCAGCCAUGCCGCGUGAGUGAUGAAGGCCCUAGGGUUGUAAAGCUCUUUCACCGGUGAAGAUAAUGACGGUAACCGGAGAAGAAGCCCCGGCUAACUUCGUGCCAGCAGCCGCGGUAAUACGAAGGGGGCUAGCGUUGUUCGGAUUUACUGGGCGUAAAGCGCACGUAGGCGGACUUUAAGUUCAGGGGUGAAAUCCCGGGGCUCAACCCCGGAACUGCCUUUGAUACUGGAAGUCUUGAGUAUGGUAGAGGUGAGUGGAAUUCCGAGUGUAGAGGUGAAAUUCGUAGAUAUUCGGAGGAACACCAGUGGCGAAGGCGGCUCACUGGACCAUUACUGACGCUGAGGUGCGAAAGCGUGGGGAGCAAACAGGAUUAGAUACCCCUGGUAG